CACGUAGGCGGCGCUCUAAGUCAGGUGUGAAAUCCCCCGGCUCAACCGGGGAACUGCACCUGAUACUGGAACGCUCGAGGACGGUAGGGGUGAGUGGAACUCCAGGUGGAGCGGUGAAAUGCGUAGAUAUCUGGAGGAACACCGGUGGCGAAAGCGGCUCACUGGACCGUCUCUGACGCUGAGGUGCGAAAGCUAGGGUAGCAAACAGGAUUAGAUACCCUGGUAGUCC
rnacentral:rRNA from 1 species